rnacentral:rRNA from 1 species
GACAUCAGGAGGUUAGUGCAAUGGCAUAAGCCAGCUUGACUGCGAGCGUGACGGCGCGAGCAGGUGCGAAAGCAGGUCAUAGUGAUCCGGUGGUUCUGAAUGGAAGGGCCAUCGCUCAACGGAUAAAAGGUACUCCGGGGAUAACAGGCUGAUACCGCCCAAGAGUUCAUAUCGACGGCGGUGUUUGGCACCUCGAUGUCGGCUCAUCACAUCCUGGGGCUGAAGUAGGUCCCAAGGGUAUGGCUGUUCGCCAUUUAAAGUGGUACGCGAGCUGGGUUUAGAACGUCGUGAGACAGUUCGGUCCCUAUCUGCCGUGGGCGCUGGAGAACUGAGGGGGGCUGCUCCUAGUACGAGAGGACCGGAGUGGACGCAUCACUGGUGUUCGG